rnacentral:rRNA from 1 species
CCUACGGGGGGCAGCAGUAGGGAAUAUUGGACAAUGGGCGCAAGCCUGAUCCAGCCAUCCCGCGUGAAGGAUUAAGGUCCUAUGGAUUGUAAACUUCUUUUCUCUGGGAAUAAAAACCGGUAUUUAUAUCGGCUUGAAGGUACCAGAGGAAUAAGCACCGGCUAACUCCGUGCCAGCAGCCGCGGUAAUACGGAGGGUGCAAGCUUUAUCGGGAUUCACUGGGUUUAAAGGGGGUUUAGGUGGCAGUGGUGAAAGCCCGGAGCUUAACUCCGGAACUGCCAUUGAGACUGUUUAGCUUGAAUCAACUUGAAGUGGAUGGAAUAUUACAUGUAGCGGUGAAAUGCUUAGAUAUGUAAUAGAACACCGAUUGCGAAGGCAGUUCACUAAGGUUGUAUUGACACUGAGGCACGAAAGCGUGGGGAUCAAACAGGAUUAGAUACCCGUGUAGUC